ACAUGGAUAGUAGGUUUCACGCAAGGAUAGUUCUAGUCAUCGUAGAAUCCAACUUAGAUGGUGGCAUAAGAGGAAACUUAAUGAGAUCUCAGAGCACUGAGAAUAAGUAAAUAAUAGAAAUUAAGAUUUGCAGUAAUUGCUUAGGUUUAGCUUGAUAUGAAGGCAUUUCUGACAAAUUUAAGUACUGAACAUCAAAAUAAUGUAGUUACUGAUCAACAUCAAAUUUAAAGUAAGUACUGAACAUCAAAGCAAUGUAAGUAAGCACUGAGAAUAAGUAAAUAAUAGAAAUUAAGAUUUGCAGUAAUUGCUUAGGUUUAGCUUGAUAUGAAGGCAUUUCUGACAAAUUUAAGUACUGAACAUCAAAAUAAUGUAGUUACUGAUCAACAUCAAAUUUAAAGUAAGUACUGAACAUCAAAGCAAUGUAAGUAGUGAACAUCAAACUAAUGCACGUACUGAACAUCAAACUAAAGAGGUACUGAACAAUAAACUAAUGCAGGUACCGAACAUCAAACUAAUGUAAGUGUUGAACAUCAAAUUAAAGUAGGUGAUAAACAUCAUGUUGGGUAAACCCGAAAUAACACAAAAGUAUUUAUGGCAAAAUAAUAGGGAAAAAUAUAAAAAAGACAAUGACACCAAGAUAUUUACGUGGAAACCCUCCUAAAUAAGGGAAAAAACUACGGACCAAGAGGUGCAACUAAUAUUACUAUAGUAAGGAAUUUUUACACCGUAGUCACAAAUAUAAUACUCAACAAUGAAUACCAUACACUCAAAAGAAAUAACCCUCUUUUGACUCCUACCUUACUAAAAAUAUUGCUCACUCUAAUUUUUCCUUCAUAGACUAUUUUUAUCACAGUCUAUGAAACACUCAAUGCUCUCUAUAUAUGUUUUUCUCUCUUUGUUGGUGUGUUUUACAAAGAGCUGAUAUGCUCCUUUUAUAGGCAGAAAACUUUGUCUGUUACAUAUGCAGUGAUUUCAUUUCCCAUUUUCCAAUUUUAAUAAUGGCAACUUGCCAGCAACUUUGAACAAACUUUUCAAUACUUUUGAAAAAGUUGAUGGGGUUGGACCCCACAAAUCUCCCCCUCAAGNNNNN
rnacentral:lncRNA from 1 species